rnacentral:misc_RNA from 1 species
AAUAAUAAUAAACAAGUAAAUCAAUCAAAGCCGAGUCGAAAUCGAGGCUGGUUCUGCUCAGUUGUUGAUAUAGAAGUGCGAAGGUGCAUCACAUAACGACGCAUUGGUGGAUGGUACAGGUGCAGCUGCAAUAACAAGUGUUCCAACAGCAACAACUUUAUGUAUGUGUAGGUGUCUUCCAAAUUCAAGAUAUAAAAGAAAAAGAUGACAGGUGACAUCUUUGCCUAUACCAGUCACUUGUUAUGUCUGGUAUUGCUGGCGUGUUUGUUGUGUUGGCCUCCUUGUGUGUGGACCACUCGAAUGGAUGAUACUGGCUUCUACACCGACAAUGGCCUGGAACAGUCUGUGAUGGUCAGCCGGAUCCCACAUCGUGUGAAGAAGGAAUUUCAACAAGAAAUACUCACCUUGAUGGGAUUACACCACAAACCGAAACCGCGGGCUCCCGGUAAGGAGACUUCUGCUCCCCGCUUCAUGAUCGAUCUGUACAAUAGGCUGCAUGGUUCAGGUGCCAGUGGAUCCAUUGAAGACGACGAUGAGGAUGAACACCCCCACUUCUUCAGCAGAACUUUAGAAAAUGAAAUGCCUAAACUCAACAGUUCUGAUGUUAUCAUGAGUUUUGUCAACCAUGUGCACAAAAUCCAUUUCCUUCGCCAUGAAAGGGACCGAACCUUCUUCUUUGACUUUGGAGAAGUGUCCCCACAAGAGACAGUGACAGGGGCCGAACUGAGGUUGUACAAAGCCAAGGAUAGGCGUGGUCGCCAUACAACUUAUCAUAUUGAGGUGUUUACCAUCCAACAGGGAGUUGAUGAACAAGACAAGACUUUGGUUCCUGAAACCAAUCAUUUGGUGUCUUCUGACUUUGAAGGCUGGAUCUUAAUGAAUGUUACCAAUGCUGCAGACUCUUGGACCAUCAUGCCAGCUUCCAAUAUGGGUCUUUUUCUCAGAAUCACUGACAUGAGCACAGGUCAAGAAUUAAGACCCAACCAUAUCGGUAUUGUAGGACAUAGAGGAGACCCCGAUAAGCAGGCGUUUUUGGUCUGCUUUUUCAAGAUGAGUCGACAGCUUCAUGUACGACGAACACGUUCUGCACGGCGGCAAAUGGAUACUCGUACAGCAGUUUCACGUCGCGAUGAUUCUCAAUCAACAUGGAGACGGACACGACGUUAUGUACGACCAGUCUGCCAAAGAAACACAAUGUAUGUUGACUUUGAAGCUUUAGGUUGGCAGAGUUGGAUCAUUGCACCUGAGGGUUACUCUGCAUUCUACUGCGACGGCGACUGCAUAUUUCCUCUCGGUCUGAACAUGAACGCCACAAAUCAUGCCAUUGUACAACUUCUGCUUCAUACAGUGAAAUCUCAGACAAUGCCUAAGCCCUGCUGUUCCCCUACCAAACUGAGUGCCAUCUCUGUGCUCUACUUUGAUGAUAAUUCCAAUGUCAUUCUCAAGAAAUAUCGAAGUAUGAAGGUGAAGGCUUGUGGCUGUCACUAGUGUUCACCUCAUACCUCUACGUCUUGUAAGACUGUAUUGCACACACACACACACAUACACACACACACACACACAU